AUGAUGAUUUAGGCCACUGAAGGUCUCUGAACCUAGUAUCAGAUGACCUGGUAGCGGGACACAGGCCACAAGGCAAGAUGUCUACAGUGCGGCGCUUCUUCUGUCUGUUUGUCACGUUCGACCUGCUGUUCACCAGCCUCAUGUGGCUUAUUUGUGUUAUGAUGCGAGGCGAAACACUACAACAAAUAAUGAACACAGAGAUAGUGGAGUACAACGUGAAGGUAUCCCUGUUCGACAUAGUGAUGGUGGCUGUGUGUCGGUUUGUCGUGUUACUGCUCUUCUACGCCGUGCUCUAUAUCAAUAACUGGAGUAUUAUUGCUCUAUCAACAGGGUGUACGUGUGCUUUAUUAAUAGCUAAGGUUUUGUAUUUGACUGGCCGAAUGCAGUACAGCCAGUAUACGAGGUAUUCCUCAUUCUGACGUCAUUCACGUUAGCGUGGGGAGGCCUGGUUCCUCGACUUCCGGGUCCUGCCUCAGGAGUUGCAGGCUAAGCAGAUAUUAGAGUCUAUAGUCCACCACGGUGCCUCAGAACGCACCCUCUCCUGCCCCCUUGGCGGGUCAGUCGCAGUACGCGGAGUCCACCGUCAAGUGGUUCUCCCCGUCGAGACCCCCGAGUCCAGUCCGCGCCCGCGCCGCCCUGGGA